UUUAACGGCCGCGGUAUCCUGACCGUGCAAAGGUAGCAUAAUCAUUAGUCUUUUAAUAGGAGUCUGGUAUGAAUGGUUUGACGAAAUUUUAACUGUCUCACUUUAAUAUUAGAAUUUAAUUUUUGAGUUAAAAAGCUUAAAUUUUGUUGGAAGACGAGAAGACCCUAUAGAGCUUUACGUGUUUUGUAUUAUUUUUAAUUUGGUUAAAUUUUUGUUUUAUAUUAUUGAUCAUGUUUUGUUGGGGCGACAAAAAUAUAUAUUUAACUUUUUUAAUUUUUAUCAUUUAUUUAUGUUUUUUAGAUCCUUUAUUAUUGAUUGUUAGAUUGAGUUACCUUAGGGAUAACAGCGUAAUCCUCUUUUGGAGUUCUUAUUUUCAAGAGGGCUUGCGACC
rnacentral:rRNA from 1 species